UGGGGAAUUUUGGACAAUGGACGCAAGUCUGAUCCAGCCAUGCCGCGUGCGGGAAGAAGGCCUUCGGGUUGUAAACCGCUUUUGUCAGGGAAGAAACGAGUUUCUCUAAUACAGAGACGUAAUGACGGUACCUGAAGAAUAAGCACCGGCUAACUACGUGCCAGAAGCCGCGGAAAUACGUAGGGUGCAAGCGUGAAUCGGAAUUACUGGGCGUAAAGCGUGCGCAGGCGGUUAUGCAAGACAGAUGUGAAAUCCCCGGGCUCAACCUGGGAACGGCAUGUGAGACUGUAUAGCUAGAGUACAGCAGAGGGGGAUGGAAUUCCGCGUGUAGCGGUGAAAUGCGUAGAUAUGCGGAGGAACACCGGUGGCGAAGGCAGUCCCCUGGGCCUGUACUGACGCUGAGGCGCGAAAGCGUGGGGAGCAAACA
rnacentral:rRNA from 1 species